GUUCCUCUCACUACCCUGGGCAUAACUGACCUAAAAUUGAAUGAUCCAAACCUGUUCCCUAUCCCCCAGAGAUGUGAGUAAUUAGAUAAAAUGAGGACAGAAUAUGUAUAAGUAUCUGUUAUACUGGGAUGGCUGCCCAGAAAGGAAAUGAGCACCAGGAACCGGACGGCCCUGUGUGCGCCCUCUGUGCUGAAGGGCUAUGUACAAGGGCUGAGGGAGAGUACCUUCAAGACCCAUAUUUCGUGCACCAUCAGCAUUUUCUCUGGCUUUCUGCGUUGAAGGACAUCUAGCGGACUCGGAUCUGAACUAAAACUUGACUUGGGAAGCCCAUCUCAACCUCGGUCUUCACCUUCCUCCCGACACGGAACCAGGCCUCUUCCAAAUAGCCCCAACAGUGAAGGAUUGGGAGGGUGGGAAAGUGGUUAGAGGUCAUAGCAAAGUUACAAUGAUAGAUAUUUUUCUCUCGAUAUGAGAACCAAAGACUCUCACAUAA